AAAGAAAUAUGUAGCCAAGGACAACUUGCCGAUCAUAUUUUUCUUUUUGUUUCUUUGUAAUUUAUUUUGUUUUCUAAUACGAAAUAGAUAUCUACUUUGUUCUUACCUUCUUCAAGAACCAGGGCAUUUGAAAAUCAGAAAAUGUUUUAAGAGAGAAUAAAAAUAUAAAUUUAAAUCGGCAAGUCAUCCUUGGCUGCACACUACUUUGG
rfam:Eutrema salsugineum unplaced genomic scaffold scaffold_13, whole genome shotgun sequence.